rnacentral:rRNA from 1 species
UACGUAGGUGGCAAGCGUUGUCCGGAUUUAUUGGGUUUAAAGGGUGCGUAGGCGGUCUUCUAAGUCAGUUGUGAAAUACUUCAGCUUAACUGGAGAGGUGCAAUUGAUACUGGAAGACUUGAGUACUGAUGAGGUAGGCGGAAUGGACGGUGUAGCGGUGAAAUGCUUAGAUAUCGUCCAGAACACCGAUAGCGAAGGCAGCUCACUAAGGAGUAACUGACGCUGAGGCACGAAAGUGUGGGGAUCAAACAGG